UUUUGCCUACGGGGCGCAGCAGUGGGGAAUAUUGGACAAUGGGGGGAACCCUGAUCCAGCGACGCCGCGGGAGUGAAGAAGUAUUUCGGUAUGUAGAGCUCUAUCAGCAGGGAAGAAAAUGACGGUACCUGACUAAGAAGCCCCGGCUAACUACGUGCCAGCAGCCGCGGUAAUACGUAGGGGGCAAGCGUUAUCCGGAUUUACUGGGUGUAAAGGGAGCGUAGACGGCUGUACAAGUCUGAAGUGAAAGCCCGUGGCUCAACCGCGGAACUGCUUUGGAAACUGUAAAGCUGGAGUACUGGAGA
rnacentral:rRNA from 1 species